UCUCUCUGAAUCUGCGAACGGCUCCGCAAACCAGUUGUAAACCAAAGCAAGCAAGUCCAUGGACCGCCCUUCACGGGGUGGGCUGUGGGCGAUACGGAUAACCCUGGUAAUUCUGAGGCUAAUACGAGAACGUAAUCCCUGGCUAACCGGGCAACUGGAAGGCCGGGGGGCGUGUGAUCUAUUUGCAAGGAUGAUCCAGGAAGGGGCGCACGCUCGGACCACGACAAAGACAGUUCCGACAAACCUCCGGGUGAGUUGGUCCUGAGUGGCUCUUGCGAAGUGCUUCUGACCUAUCAACUAGAUGGCAGCGUAACGGACAUGCCAUGGUUACAACGGGUACAGAGGAUUAGGGUUCGAUCCUGGAGAGUGGGCCUGAGAGAUU
rnacentral:rRNA from 1 species